GGCGGACGGGUGAGUAACACGUGGGUAACCUGCCUGUAAGACUGGGAUAACUUCGGGAAACCGAAGCUAAUACCGGAUACUUUCGAGCAUCGCAUGAUGCUUGAUGGAAAGACGGCUUCGGCUGUCACUUACAGAUGGACCCGCGUCGCAUUAGCUAGUUGGUGAGGUAACGGCUCACCAGGGCGACGAUGCGUAGCCGACCUGAGAGGGUGAUCGGCCACACUGGGACUGAGACACGGCCCAGACUCCUACGGGAGGCAGCAGUAGGGAAUCUUCGGCAAUGGGCGAAAGCCUGACCGAGCAACGCCGCGUGAGCGAUGAAGGCCUUCGGGUCGUAAAGCUCUGUUGUUAAGGAAGAACAAGUACGAGAGUAACUGCUCGUACCUUGACGGUACUUAACGAGAAAGCCACGGCUAACUACGUGCCAGCAGCCGCGGUAAUACGUAGGUGGCGAGCGUUAUCCGGAAUUAUUGGGCGUAAAGCGCGCGCAGGCGGUUUCUUAAGUCUGUUGUGAAAGCCCACGGCUCAACCGUGGAGGGUCAUUGGAAACUGGGAAACUUGAGUGCAGAAGAGGAAAGCGGAAUUCCACGUGUAGCGGUGAAAUGCGUAGAGAUGUGGAGGAACACCAGUGGCGAAGGCGGCU
rnacentral:rRNA from 1 species